UACGUAGGAGGCGAGCGUUGUCCGGAUUUACUGGGCGUAAAGCGCGCGCAGGCGGCACACUAAGUACGAUGUGAAAUCUCCCUGCUCAACGGGGAGGGUGCAUAGUAAACUGGUGAGCUAGAGGACGGUAGAGGGGGGUGGAAUUGCUGGUGUAGCGGUGAAAUGCGUAGAGAUCAGCAGGAACACCCGUGGCGAAGGCGGCCCCCUGGGCCGAACCUGACGCUGAGGCGCGAAGGCUAGGGGAGCGAACGGG
rnacentral:rRNA from 1 species